GGGCCUAUAGCUCAGUUGGUUAGAGCACACGCCUGAUAAGCGUGAGGU
rnacentral:tRNA from 1 species